rnacentral:rRNA from 2 species
GGAACCGUGAGACAGGUGCUGCAUGGCUGUCGUCAGCUCGUGUUGUGAAAUGUUGGGUUAAGUCCCGCAACGAGCGCAACCCUUAUCCUUUGUUGCCAGCGGUCCGGCCGGGAACUCAAAGGAGACUGCCAGUGAUAAACUGGAGGAAGGUGGGGAUGACGUCAAGUCAUCAUGGCCCUUACGACCAGGGCUACACACGUGCUACAAUGGCGCAUACAAAGAGAAGCGACCUCGCGAGAGCAAGCGGACCUCAUAAAGUGCGUCGUAGUCCGGAUUGGAGUCUGCAACUCGACUCCAUGAAGUCGGAAUCGCUAGUAAUCGUGGAUCAGAAUGCCACGGUGAAUACGUUCCCGGGCCUUGUACACACCGCCCGUCACACCAUGGGAGUGGGUUGCAAAAGAAGUAGGUAGCUUAACCUUCGGGAGGGCGCUUACCACUUUGUGAUUCAUGACUGGGGUGAAGUCGUAACAAGGUAACCGUAGGGGAACCUGCGGUUGGAUCACCUCCUUACCUUAAAGAAGC